UACAGAGGCCCCGAGCAUUGCCCGGAAUUAUUGGGCGUAAAGGGUGUGUAGGUGGUCAUAUUAGUCGCCUGUUAAAUCCCAGGGCUUAACUCUGGAAUCGCGGGCGAUACGGUACGACUAGAGAGCGUAGGGGGUGAAUGGAACUCAUGGUGUAGGGGUGAAAUCCGUUGAUAUCAUGGGGAACACCGAAAGCGAAAGCAAUUCACUGGUACGUUUCUGACACUGAAACACGAAAGCGUGGGUAGCGAACGGG
rnacentral:rRNA from 1 species